rnacentral:lncRNA from 1 species
CAGCUUCAGCAGAGGACAAAGAAACCAUUGGCUGCUUUUUGGAUUUCCAAGUAAUAAGCUACCACCCAAAAGUACACAAAAACCAGUAACAUACCUGCGAGUAUCAGGACAGGAAGCCCAAUCACUGUCAGAAUAUGCAUGUAUGGAGAAAUCAGAAGUGGCAGAAUAGAAAAGACCCAAAUACAUAGUGCCCUUAAGAUAUCUGAGGACAUGUAGGGUAGCAGUCAUAUGUGGAAUUGUGGGACACUUCAAAAACUGACUUAGAUGUUGAACAGCAAAGCAGAUGUCAGGCCUGGUGGGGUAAAAAAUAAGAGCUUACCAAUGAGGCUCCUAUAUUGAUCAGGGGAGGAGAAGGGGUCACCAUAAUCAACAUGGAGUUUGACAUUAAGAUCCAAAGGACAAACAACAUGAGAGACAUUCAUACAGUCAAAUUGAUGCAGCAGGUCAGAGACAUAUUUGUGCUGAUUAAGAUGCAUACCACCAGGUACAACAGACAUCUCAAUGCCCAGGAAAUAAUGCAAAGACCUAAGGUCUUUAAUCCUGAACUGAUCAUCCAGAAAAAGUUUCAAGGCAGAAAGCUCAUCAUUGUAACCAGGAACAACAGACAUCUCAAUGCCUAGGAAAUAAUGCAAAGACUCAAGGUCUUUAAUCUUGAACUGGUCAUCUAGAAAACGUUUCAGGGCAGAAAGCUCAUCAUUGUCAUUCCCAGUAAUAAUAAUAUCAUCCACAUAGACUG